rnacentral:rRNA from 1 species
AUUGAACGCUGGCGGCAUGCCUUACACAUGCAAGUCGAACGGUAACGGGCCUUCGGGUGCCGACGAGUGGCGAACGGGUGAGUAAUACAUCGGAACGUGCCCGAUCGUGGGGGAUAACGAGGCGAAAGCUUUGCUAAUACCGCAUACGAUCUACGGAUGAAAGCAGGGGACCGCAAGGCCUUGCGCGGACGGAGCGGCCGAUGGCAGAUUAGGUAGUUGGUGGGAUACAAGCUUACCAAGCCGACGAUCUGUAGCUGGUCUGAGAGGAUGAUCAGCCACACUGGGACUGAGACACGGCCCAGACUCCUACGGGAGGCAGCAGUGGGGAAUUUUGGACAAUGGGCGCAAGCCUGAUCCAGCCAUGCCGCGUGAAGGAUGAAGGCCUUCGGGUUGUAAACUGCUUUUGUACGGAACGAAAAGCCUUCUUUUAAUACAGGAGGGUCAUGACGGUACCGUAAGAAUAAGCACCGGCUAACUACGUG